CCUACGGGCGGCAGCAGUGAGGAAUAUUGGUCAAUGGACGAGAGUCUGAACCAGCCAAGUAGCGUGAAGGAUGACUGCCCUAUGGGUUGUAAACUUCUUUUAUAUGGGAAUAAAAUGUUCCACGUGUGGGAUUUUGUAUGUACCAUAUGAAUAAGGAUCGGCUAACUCCGUGCCAGCAGCCGCGGUAAUACGGAGGAUCCGAGCGUUAUCCGGAUUUAUUGGGUUUAAAGGGAGCGUAGGUGGAUUGUUAAGUCAGUUGUGAAAGUUUGCGGCUCAAACGUAAAAUUGCAGUUGAAACUGGCAGUCUAGAGUACAGAAGAGGUAGGCGGAAUACGUGGUGUAGCGGUGAAAUGCUUAGAUAUCACGAAGAACUCCGAUUGCGAAGGCAGCUCACUGGACUGCAACUGACACUGAGGCUCGAAAGUGUGGGUAUCAAACAGGAUUAGAUACCCUAGUAGUC
rnacentral:rRNA from 1 species